GUUUCAGGGCGGGGUGCAAUUCCCCACCGGCGGUAAAUGGCAUUGCCACAAGCCCGCGACCGGCUGUUGAUGCAGCCGCUGAUCCGGUGUGAUUCCGGGGCCGACGGUAUAGUCCGGAUGAAAGAAA
rnacentral:ncRNA from 1 species